UAUGCUCAUAAACCUCUUAUGUUUUAAAGUAUGAAUAGUUAUAGGAGAGGAGGAAUAUGAAAUAGCUUUCCUCCACUCUUGUGCCACUUGUGCCUGAUGAAGUGGCAUCUGUUCUUGACCCUGUAGGGGAGCAUCUGAUUUUAACUCAUGCUCCCUCAACUUUAUAAAAGGGAAAGCCAUGAGAAAAAUGUGAAAUUAGCAACAUUUUUUGGUCCCUAAUUAACUUAAUGGGUAUACUAUUGUGCCUCCAAUAUUCAAUGAAGCUCAGCUAGUAACUGAACUUGGCAGAGUAUUAAUCAAGCCACAAAAAUUUUUUGUUUAUUUAUUUAUUUUGAGAGAAAGAGUGUGAGAAGAGGAGGGGCAGAGAGAGGGGGGAGACGGAAUCCCAAGCAGGCUCCGUGCUCUCAGUGUACAGCCCAUCACAGAGCUGGAUCCCGCAAACCAUGAGAUCAUGACAUGAGCCAGAGCCAAGAGGCGGUUGCUCAACUGACCGAACCACCCAGGUGUCCCAAGUCACACAUUUUUAUUAAGGAUUUUCUAUGGUAUCAGCACUGGAAUUUUAGUGAGAGAUGAUAAGAAAGAUAUGUUCUCUGGUUAAUUUAUUCAUCAAAUGCGUCUUGGAAUUUACUCUUGUGCCAUGGGCUCUAGGGAAGGCACAGGUGUUUAAUAUAAGAUCUCUUAUAUUGGUAGAUACCAAAUAUUUCUUAAUACAACAAAAAUACCUUAGUUUUGAUAGUUAAAAUGUCCUUUUCCAUGAAUAAUUUUCAUGUUCUUUUAUUAUGAGAAAUUCAUAUCUCUAAAAAAUGUAGUAAAACUGGGUAUAUGGGAUAUAUAGUCACCAGAUGCCACAGAUAGUUUUUGAAGAGGUAACAGUUGUUAAAAAGUUUCUCAUUGGUAAGGAAGAAAUGAGUUUUAAAUACUAGGUGGUACCAGAGCAAUGUAUUUACAAUAGCUCUAAGUAAGUACUAGAACAAAAAUUGACAGUCAUGCAUAAAUAUGUAUAUAAAAUAAAUAUAUAUAGAAUAAAUUUUAUGUAGAGAGAGAAAAUAUAUAUUCUUCUUUCCUUCUCACUUGUUUACAAAUAUUUAGCUUAUAUUAAGCCCUAUUCCAUGAGAAUUUCCUAGUGGUUAAUCUUGGAUGUAUGAAAGUACAAAGGACUUAAGUGACUCCCUUGAAGGCAGUUGGCUAACCAUUAGCCCAACAGGCAGAUGCAGAUAUACUACAUGUACGAAAGCAGAUAAAUUAAACUUUGCAUUAAACAAUUUUGUGUUAAGCAAGUUGUCUUAUCUCACCUGCAAAGAAGUUCACAGUAAGGAGUCUGGUGUUGCCACUUGCUCUGUGUGACCCUGAUUGGGAGUGCAAAGAAAAUUUUUGUGCUUUUCUAGUUUUCUGCCAGUCUUAAAUAUGCCAAUGCCCUCAUGCUGUUUCUGCUGAGCCUUCAAAAGUAAUUUUGUGGAAGUUUGGAAGAUGAAACAGUGUGUAAUCAAUAAGAAUGUUCUCUAUCCGCAUUGAUCCCACUUAAAUAGCUCUCUCUAUGAAUUCUAGAAACUAUCUGAGAAAUAGCUUAAAAUUAAAUUUAAAUUAUUUAAUCGUGAGAAGUAAAUCCAGAAAAAGUAAAGAGAAUCCAAGGGAGCCGACUAGCACACACCAUUCAGAAAUUUUCUUGUCUUUAAAAUUAUUUUUAAUGUUUAAUUAUUUGAGAGAGAGAGAGAGCAGGGGAGGGGCAGAGAGAGAGGGAGACACAGAAUCUGAAGCAGGCUCUAGACUCUAAACUGUCAGCACAGAACCCGAGGCAGGGUUCGAACCCACGAACUGUGAGAUUAUGACCAAAGUUGGCUGCUUAACCGACUAAGUCACCCAAGCAACCCCAGAAAUUUUCCUGUCUUAAAGAUAAAAAAAAGAAAUUUUCUUGUCUUUUGAGCAAUAACCUGGAAGAUAAUCCAUUAAUCACUGAAGGAAUUUUAAUCUGGUAGUAUGGACAUCUUUAACAAAAAUCACUGGAACAUAUUUAUUCUCCCUGGAAAACUGGUGUGUGUGUGUGUGUGUGUGUGUGUGUGUGUGUGUGCGCGCGCGCGCACGCGCAUGCACAAACAAACCCAACGUACCUUUAAUUUUGUUUAAAUAAUGUUUAAGUAAUAUAUUAAAUAAAUAUACAUAAAUGUGAAAUUACAAUACUUUAAAAGGAGGCUUUAAAAUGCUAAACACUAAAUCUGUCUAUAAGCAGACUAAAGCAUUUUAUUCCAAUAACUUUUCUGCGUACGGUUUAUCUCACAUAACACUUAUGCUCCAGUUUCCUUGAAAGUAAAGGAUAUACGUUUAAAGCCAAUGCAUUAUUGAAUAAUGCAGAAAGCUUAAUAAGUUAUUGGUUUUUAGGACUAUUCAUUAAUAAGAAAGUUGAGGAGAAAGGAAUAAUUAUAAAUAUUCUUUUGAAAUAUAAAUUGAUGACCUAACAAAGUUUUUCACUGUUUAUUAAAAUCUGUUUUAUGUGGGCCUUUUUCUUUUCCAGGUGUGGGUUUUUUUGUUAUUUCCAAAUUCACUGUGGUCAUGAGAGAAGCUAUUAAGUACUGAGAAAGUCAGAUUCAGCUGUCUGCUUUAAUGUGAAUCACACCAUGAUUGUGGAUCUUUGAAAAAGCAUGAUGGGAACAAUUUUUUUAUAGAAUUACAUAAUAUUAGACCCUUUUUGAAGUUAGCAAAGUUGACUUAAUUACUAAAAAGAAAACAAUAAACAUUUAUUUUUCUUUAUAAACAUCAUAGAAACUUUGUAGAAUACUUACAUUUACAAUGGAUAAUAUGGUUAUAUUUGUAGCUAUUAAAGUUAUAAAUUAUUAAGCUUAUGUGAAUUUUAGAAUCUCACAUGUAGUUUGUGGAUAAUGUUUUUAUUAAAACAUACUGUGUUUUUCUAUCUUUCUGUUCAUUUUGAAAAGUAAGGAAAGAUUAUUUUAAGACCUGGUCCUGGCACUUUGCAAGUCUCUUCAGUUUAUAUGGUAGUCCUUCAAAGGCUUGUGAAAAAUUCUUCCAAAAAGAUUGCUGAGGCUGCAAAGAAACCUAAUUGAACUAACUUCCAGAAAGUGGGGACCCCUCACUAGAAGAGGAAAGACAGCGGCUUCCUUCUAUAGCAGGAUGGCGGGGCGGGGAGGCCAGGCAGCCGGGAGAAAUUUUUUCAGCAACAUGUGGGUGAGUGUGACCGAUUAGAUUUCCAAGCGUCCGACCACAGAGGCAACAUCUACCACUGAGUCCCAGGAACCCAUUCUAAUUUCUUUACAAGUAAUAUCACUUAAUUAGCACAGUAAUGCUGUGUUACCACUACCUAUAUACAAUUUUUCUUCCUGUUUUACAAAGAGAGUACCUGAGGUGGAGAGGUCAUCCACCCAAACUUAUGAGUGGGAUCCAGGAUUUAUGUUCAGCCAGUGUGACCUCAUAGCUCUCAGUCUUAGCUCUGGUGCUAUUCUGCUUCCCAGUAAAUAUUUAGUCAAAGGUUAUUCAUCAGUAUAGCCUGAUGAAGUUAUUUACUAACUGAAUGAACCUAAAUUAUCAAGCGCCUUUCCCACUUUCUCUACAAGGAAGCAAAUUCAAUACAUAUAAUUUGAAAUUUAAGAGCAUUGAAAAAAUAGGACAACCAGUUUAUUUUAUAGAACCAGCUUUCUAUGGAUGCAGGUGCUGGGUUUUCUCCAGAAUUCUGAUGUUUAAGAUGGUGCAUAUUUGUUUUAGAUUUAACGACUAUUCUCUGUUCCAGUAGUAUCCAAGAAUUAAUUUGCAUGCCAAUUUAAAUUCUAUCAAUAAUAUGUGUAAUUCUCCCUCUCCUCAUUGUAGAGACCUACACCUUGUAUCCAAAGGGGAUGGUGGAGGUAAGUAGUACUUUCUUUUCUGUGCAAAUGUGUUAGCAUACUUCCAAGGACCAACUCAUACUGAAAUGAAGUGACUAGAUACUUGGCAGAAAAAUGUGGACAUUUGGGAUUUUUAUAAAUUGCUUCCUCAAUUUUCUCCACCCUUUAAAAUAUAGAAUAUAUAGUGUGUCACCCACCACCCAAAUAUCUGAAAGUCUUACACUGUCUGAAUAAAAACUAAGUGAAUAUUUUGCCUGAAUUGUUAUAAUCAACUUCCCAGACACCUAUAGCAAUAAAGUACUAUAGAGUUAGCAAUGGUCUUGUGAAGGAUUAUGAAGGGCUUAAACUUUUCCAUAUUUGAGGUGUUCCCCCAAUUUUAUUUCUGGGAGUACUUUUUGCUAGGGGUUUCCAAACAAAAGGAAGAAAUGGUGCUGCCAGAAGAAUCUCUGAGGGGGCAGGGACAGGCCCUUCCAGAGAAGUCUGCUGCCUGCCAGGAAUCUCAGCCAACCUGUUUUAGGCAGUUUUUAGAAAGAAUUGUAAAAUAAGAAAUGGACAGUGCAGUGAUGAGAAUCACUUUUACAUCACCCCCAAACCCCAUUUCCUGAAAUGCCCACCUCCUUGAUAAUAUCUAACAUUUAAAUAGUGUUUUAAUACUUUACAAAGACUGUCAUAUAGCAGCCAAACCUUAAUCUUGAAAUCCAUCCCCCACUUGCCAUCACUGGUUUUCCCAAGGCUUUGAUAUUUCAUUUAUUUGCAUUGUUGGUUCUCUUGUUUCCAUCUUCUAGUCAUUUUUCUUUGGCCUUCUGUUCUUCCUUUUGCAAUUUUAAUUAUUGACAAUGAUUUUUGAGUCUCCCCUGAGCUCUGAUGUCACACAGUUGGCACAGAGUACACAGUUAAAUAAUUCUUCAAAACUGAAUCAGUCUCUGAUAGGGAUGUCCACUUGGAAGUCACAGCAUCAUCUCAAAGCCUGACACCAACAUGUUGUCUUGUAAAAUAUCUGAUGUGUCUGUUAACAAUAGGGAGAACUAACAUUUAUUAUGUGUCAUGUAUUUUCAAUAAAUUAUUUACCUCUCACAACAAUCCUAGGAAAUAGGUGAAUGAAGAAUGAAGAAACAGUCCCAAACAGGGACUGAGCAAGUUAAGGAAUGGUGAUCUGAACUCAGGUCAUCUAACUCAAACCAGAGUCCCUUAUAUAUCACAUCAUAAGUCCUCCGGCCUCUUAUAUGAAAAGUCACUUAACCCCUCUCAGUUCUGCUGUUUCCACCUGUCCAGUAGAGGCCUGAUGAUAAACACAGCCAAAGACAGGACCUGAAUUGAUAGGUAAUUAAGGAUGAGCAAAAAGGAUUGCACACUCAGCAAAAUCAAAGAUAAUAGACUUACAACUGAAAAUACAAAGAAAGAGAUUUUUCAAACCGAAGUCAUGAUUUAUGUCAUUUGAAACAAAUUCUGAAAUAAUACAAAUAUAUUAACUUUUCCUGAUUUUGUUUGGGAUCUGUUUUCAGGACCAUGUCUCAGAUUCUAUGUAAAAACAACAAAAAAACAAAAACACUUGAAGAGGCAACAAAGACAAUAUAUUUCAUUAAAAAUUUUAUUUUUAGAGCCCAUCAAUGGGCAAAUCCCAAACAGUAGCCAUACAGAGUAUUUAAGAACAUUUUAAUAUUUCUUUCUAUCCAUCUUUGUUUUCCUUUCCACAAACAAACAUACUGGAUUAAAGCAACAAUACUCUUAACCCCAAAUUCAAUGCCUGAGUACUUUCAAUAUCUAUUUUGAACACAUAAUAAAGCAGAGGCAGUUAAUUUUAUUUCCACUCGGAGCUUAGCAAUUACUUUAGCUUCACAUUCUUCUAUCACAAAUUAUAACCAAAUGGCCUACCUAAGCAGCUAAAAUCAUAAAAUUAUUAUAAGCCAAGUCAAUGGUAUGUAUAAAGUUAACAAAAAACAACAACUAGACUAGUAUACAUUUGUUUUGGGCCCUACAAGAAAUAUGCCAAAAUAACAAGCUUUAGUAAAAGAUGAGGUCCUUGGGCAGAGGAGAACAAGAAGUCCUAUCAUCAAAAAUUUUGAGGAAAACUUAGGUAAGAGGAAAUCAGC